rnacentral:rRNA from 1 species
CCUACGGGAGGCAGCAGUGAGGAAUAUUGGUCAAUGGGCGCGAGCCUGAACCAGCCAAGUAGCGUGAAGGAUGACUGCCCUACGGGUUGUAAACUUCUUUUAUAAAGGAAUAAAGUGCGGCACGUGUGCCUUUUUGUAUGUAAUUUAUGAAUAAGGAUCGGCUACCUCCGUGCCAGCAGCCGCGGUCAUACGGAGGAUCCGAGCGUUAUCCGGGUUUAUUUGGUUUAAAGGGAGCGUAGAUGGGUUGUUAAGUCAGGUGUGAAAGUUUGCGGCUCAACCGUAAAAUUGCAAUUGAUACUGGCAGUCUUGAGUACAGUUGAGGUAGGCGGAAUUCGUGGUGUAGCGGUGAAAUGCGUAGAUAUCACGAAGAACGCCGAUUGCGAAGGCAGCUUACUAAACUGCAACUGACAUUGAUGCUCGAAAGUGUGGGUAUCAAACAGGAGUAGAUACCCCAGUAGUC